rnacentral:rRNA from 1 species
AGUGAACGCUGGCGGUAGGCCUAACACAUGCAAGUCGAACGGCAGCACAGGAGAGCUUGCUCUCUGGGUGGCGAGUGGCGGACGGGUGAGGAAUACAUCGGAAUCUACUCUGUCGUGGGGGAUAACGUAGGGAAACUUACGCUAAUACCGCAUACGACCUACGGGUGAAAGCAGGGGACCUCCGGGCCUUGCGCGAUUGAAUGAGCCGAUGUCGGAUUAGCUAGUUGGCGGGGUAAAGGCCCACCAAGGCGAUGAUCCGUAGCUGGUCUGAGAGGAUGAUCAGCCACACUGGACAUGAGACACGGUCCAGACUCCUACGGGAGGCAGCAGUGGGGAAUAUUGGACAAUGGGCGCAAGCCUGAUUCAGCCAUACCGCGUGGGUGAAGAAGGCCUUCGGGUUGUAAAGCCCUUUUGUUGGGAAAGAAAUCCAGCUGGCUAAUACCCGGUUGGGAUGACGGUACCCAAAGAAUAAGCACCGGCUAACUUCGUGCCAGCCGCCGCGGUAA